GUAGGUGGCAAGCGUUGUCCGGAAUUAUUGGGCGUAAAGCGCGCGCAGGCGGUUCUUUAAGUCUGAUGUGAAAGCCCACGGCUCAACCGUGGAGGGUCAUUGGAAACUGGAGAACUUGAGUACAGAAGAGGAAAGCGGAAUUCCACGUGUAGCGGUGAAAUGCGUAGAGAUGUGGAGGAACACCGGUGGCGAAGGCGGCUUUCUGGUCUGUAACUGACGCUGAGGCGCGAAAGCGUGGGGAGCAAACAGGGAUUAGAUACCCUGGUAGUCCACGCCGUAAACGAUGAGUGCUAAGUGUUAGGGGGUUUCCCGCCCCUUAGUGCUGCAGCUAACGCAUUAAGCACUCCGCCUGGGGAGUACGGCCGCAAGGCUG
rnacentral:rRNA from 1 species